UUUAUUACAAGUCCAAAGAAUGGGCCGGGAACUACGUCAUUCGGGAAGACGAUCAGAGAGUGUGGUCUAUAGGGCAGGAACGGAAAGACAGCUAGACAGACAGAAACAGAACAGAAAUAUGUACGAAAGCUGCUGCAGAAAAGCUUUAAUUAGUCAUCCUCUGGUGAAUACCUAGACACAUCAAAUGAAUUCGAAACAAAUGUGCGCUUACUUGUAAAAGACGACGUAGUAUCGAUCGGAAUCCAUAACCUGGAAGAGCAGCAUGAGAGCUUGCACAGCUGUGCUGAACUUCACGAUGUGCACCACUUUAAACAGCGUGUCCAGCUGCUCCCGGACGUCUCAUCUCCGGCCUUGGUGUAUGGAUAAGCCCUGUUGAUGCCGCUCAGCAGCGCACACAGCAUCUUAGACUCAGAAGAAUUCAUUCUUAAAGUAUCAUAUAGAUAAUAUCAUGUUAAACAACAAUAAAAGAAAGUUAUAUUCAUUGAAGUAUUGUUCUGUAAAUAAAUAAACAAAAAAUUAUUAAGA